UCGAUUAUUGUACAUAUUAUGUACAUAUUACUAUAGGAUCGUACAUUUGUAUCCUUGAGUUCUAAGGAGAUAGGACACAAAGUCUGGUUGAUGAAUCAUGACUACAUGAUCAGAGCGUGAUUAACAGCUCCUGUAGGCUCGACCUUUCAGAGUAGUAAAGGAUCGUUCUUGGCUAGUUUCAACAGGCAGGGAUGGUCAUGUUGUCGCCUAAUAGACU